AUGGGGCACGGGCGUGCAGUGCGGCGCCCAUGUGCGUGUAGUUCGCGGAGAUGGGGUGCCGAACGACGAAUCAUGCAGUCCGCGGAGAUGUGCGUGCAGUCGUCGACGAUGUUUGUUUGGUGUCUAUUUUGCUCACUGUUGACGUUUUUGCGUAUUUCAGAUUUUGGUUGCAGUCCCAUGGGCACACAUGUGCAGUGCUGUGGGGGUCGGACAUACAGUGCACCGGCGACCGACUUGCAUUUCAGGGACAAAAAUGUGGAUUCGUUUUUGAAGUCCCUCAUCAAUGUAAUUUGUAUGUGUUUGUACUAUCUGGAUUAUAAAGAGCAGCAUUGCAGCCUGUCUCGUAGCCCAUAG
rnacentral:rRNA from 1 species